rnacentral:misc_RNA from 1 species
UUCUGGAAAUGUACAUCUGGAGUCACCCUAGGUGGAUUGACUUUAGGGAAGCUCCUAACAACAUCAAGGACUCUGUCAAUGACCUGUUCCUUUGUGAGAUGAUGAUCAUGCGACGACAUUAACCGGAUAGAACUAGAGAAGCUCCAUGGCUGAGAUUUGAAUCCGGCUAGGGCCAGCGUUUCUACGGGUACCCGGAAAUGGUGACGGAGGGCUGCUCUCAUUGCCAUAUCUACCUUCCUCUUCUCAAUUUGGUUGAUUUGGGCAGUCGCAGUAAUAAACACCCAACUAGACCUGAUAACCGGCCGGUACCCGCGGCCUUGGCUUGAGCCGGGUUUAGACAAGGGUCAGGUGGUCUGGCGUGAGAUUGGC